rnacentral:rRNA from 1 species
UACGUAGGAGGCAAGCGUUGUCCGGAAUUACUGGGCGUAAAGCGCGUGUAGGUGGUGGGACAAGUCUGCUGUGAAAGCGCCUGGCUUAACCGGGCGAGGUCGGCGGAAACUGUCCGACUCGAGGACGGUAGAGGGGGGUGGAAUUCCCGGUGUAGUGGUGAAAUUCGUAGAUAUUAGGAAGAACACCGGUGGCGAAGGCGGCCCACUGGAUCGGUACUGACGCUGAGGUGCGAAAGCGUGGGGAGCAAACAGG